GGUAAACGCGUUUUUGUAGUGUGUGUUGCCCUAAUCGCAUGCCAUCAAAAACGGCUUCUCUCUUCUCUUCUUAAAACACAUUCUUCAUAAAUUCAUACACCAAUUACCACGUCUUCCUCUCAUCAUCUUCACGCAACUCGAAUCUUCAAUUGACAUAUCGGAAUCCGCUUCGAUCUAGUCCAUCUUACUCAGUUGUAAAGUCAUAUUUUCAUGCAUAUGGACCAUACCGUUCCUCAGAAGAUUCAUUAUCUGUUUCUAUUUAGGUUUUUGUCCAAAAUGAUGGUCUAAGAGGUGUUCAUUUUCGACGUAGGACCUAGACAAAAGGUUAUUUCUCUUGUUGUCAUUGCAUAUGUUAUUUCGGUUGGGCUUUAAAUCACACACUCUUUACAUUAUAAUGGGUUGUUUAUUUCAGAUCGGUUGUAAGUUUAAAAGUUUUACAACAAAUCUUAACUGUUAAUAAGAAUAAAUCAAAUGGUAAUAUAAGUAGUCUAUUUUUUACGAAAAAGAAAUUGUCAUGUAUAUGUAUAUAUGACAAUUCCACUAGAUCCAUUUCUUUAAACUUUUCUUUUGUAGUAUAUGGUUCCCUUACUUCUUAACUACGGGUCUUCAUUGACUCAAUUGAAAUCUUUGGCGAUUACCUUGAUCCUUCUAGAUCCACUUGGGCGAUCCUCGAUUGAACUCGAAAAUAAUUGUACUUGACUCUUCUUAGUUGUUUUGCAACAUUGAAUGGUUCAAGGCUCAUGCAUCUCCAAAAUUGAAUCAUCAAAAGUCCUUUUAUGUCUGUUGUCAACAUCCUUCAUUGGCUUUUUCGUUGGGUCAGUGUUGCCUUUGUGGUUAAAUAACUAGGUUGGUGAAAAGAAAUCCCUUAACUUAGUCUCUCUUAUCCUAAGUGGAAUCAAUAAGAUUGUUCUGGUGGUAUGAAGUUUGACUCCUCCAUGUCAACUGCCUAAGGGUGAUUACUUGUGCUUAGGUUCUCUCAGACAGUUGCUUCUUAAGAAGAUCCAUAAAAAAAUCUUCAAGUUGAUUAUCACCUUUUUCGAUUAAAGAGAUAGUUGAUAUAUUUGCAACUUCACCUGCUCACGUAGGAUUCCGACUAGUCAAUUUACUACCUCUACUGAAGACACUCAAUUUAAGUUGUGAUUAUUCUUAGUGCAUGAUAAGUAAUUUAGUCUCCUUAUGUGCUCUUUGUUUUCUAAGUUUCAUCACAAUCUCUAAGCCUCAUUAAAAUUCUAGUCUAGUCUCUAUGAUAAGUCAUUUAGUCUUCUAAUGCCCUAUCUAAUUUCCAAGUUUCAUAACGAUAUCCAAGCCUCAUCAAAAUUACAGCCUAGUCACAAUAGCACAGAGACACAUGUGUAGAACAAGGGAAGCCACUGCUAAAGAAAUCACCAAACAAACAACACUAAGCAUGUGGAGAAAAAUACAUUUUAGCAUUCUCUUUUAAAUAAUGUUUCUUUUCAUUGGAAAAUACACUAUUAGAGGUCAAAAUCCAAUAGCGCUAAUUAAUUCAACAAUGUCAAUGAAGAAUGGUAUCAUCAAUGAUAUUACCAUUGUUAUGAUUACAGAACACGAUCUCCAAACCAAUCUAAAGUUGUUGAGUUUUAAUGGCGAGAACAUGCCGAUGAUUGUAAUUUAAAUUUCUUUGCUGAUAAAAUCAUUAUCCGGUAAUAUUUUGGAUGAAGUUCUUUUAAAGUUGGAUAAAUGGGUUGGAAUAAAACUUGGAAAGCUCCAACUAGUUGGAUAAUUAUCGCGAGAUUGGCUAUAUUGGUGACUGAUCAAUAUAGUCAAAAUCGCGAUCAUUAUCCCUCUAUUUGGAGUUUUCCAAGUUUUAUCCCCACCCAUUUAUUCACUAUCAAAAGAACUAAAACUAAAAUAUUUUUGGAUAACAAUUUUAUCAACCAAGACAUCGAAAUUCCAAUCCUAGACAUGGUUUCAUCAUUAAAAAUCAACCUUUUAAGAUUGUUUUGGAGAUUUGGUCUUGUGAUCAUAACAACUGUAAUAUCAAUGCAUAAAACAUUCUUCAUAACAUAAAUGGAUAAAUUGAGGCUACUAAAUUUUGGCAUCUAAGUGGGUAUUUUCCAUUGGAACUAUACAUUGUUUUAGACCGCAUAUCAAAAUGGUUUUGUCUCCACAUGCUUAAUGAUGUUUGUCUUGUAAUUUCUUGAGCUGUUGUAGCAAUUUCCCUUGCUCGUGCUAUUUUUUAUUUUGGACUUACAAGCCAUUCCAUAGUUCAAUAUAAAUCCCUAAUAUCAUUGUAAUAAACCUGAAGUUAUCAUAAUCACAUUUUCUUGCCAAAUAGUUUAUUCAGGUAUUCAUGGUCUUUAGUCUCAUACGCUCCUACUAUAUCCCUUUUUUAAAGUUUUCUUUUACAUCAUAUGGUUCCCUUCUCACCUAGUGGCAUUUAUUUACUCGGGUGAAGUCUCUGUUGGUUACCUUGAUCCUUUGAUCCUUUCUAGAUCUUUUUGGGUGAUCUUUGAUUGAACACAAAAAUAUCUUAUCUUGACUCUUAGUUGUUUUGCAACUUUGAUCGGUACAAAGGUCGUGCAUCUUCCCAAGGUUCUCUCUAACAUUUUUUAUGAUGACGAUCCAUCAUAAAUCUUGAAGUUAUUUGCCCUAUUUUCUAAUUACACAUAUAGUUGAUAUAUUUGCCACUUCAUCAACUCGCAUAGGAUUUGGACAAGUCAAUUUAAUGCCUCUACUAAAGGAUCUCAAUUUAACUUAUGAUCCUUCUUAAUGCAUGAUAAGUCAUUUAGUCUGUUGAUGCGCUAUCUGAUUUUUAAGUUUGAUAAUAAUCUCCAAGUUUCAUUAAUAUUCUAUUCUAUUGAAAAAUGACAAGUCAUUUAGUCUUCUGACGUGGUCUAUAAUUUCCAAGUUUCAUCACAAUCUCCACGCCUUAUUAAAAUUCUAGUCUAGUCACAAUAACACAGGGACAUAUGUGAGAACAAAUCAGAUUCAAAGGAAUAAUACUCACUAAGGUUCUACAAAAUCACGAUCAUGAUCAAAGGGAAACUACAGAUUUAGAGAUGUAUCUAGGAUUUCCAGAAUAAAAGGUUAAGUCCUCACACGAUAACAUCACUAACUACAAAAAACGUGCAUGGAUGGGGGUUAUUUUUGGAAUUAGAGGGGGUUUCUGACCUUCGCAAAUUUUUUUUGCGGGAGUUAUAAAAACUGCCGCCUAUAGGAUUCCCACAGUUUAUUUGCGGGAGUUCUAUGUGACCGCUGGUAUAUACUGGGGCGGUUUGUUUGUAGAGGUUAAUAACCCCCGGAAAGUGUUAAAAAAAUGUUAAAAAAAAAA